AUUGAACGCUGGCGGCAUGCUUUACACAUGCAAGUCGAACGAGUGGCGAACGGGUGAGUAACGCAUCGGAACGUGCCGAGUAAUGGGGGAUAACUGUCCGAAAGGACAGCUAAUACCGCAUAUUAUUCGAGCGGCCGAUGUCUGAUUAGCUGGUUGGCGGGGUAAAGGCCCACCAAGGCGACGAUCCGUAGCGGGUCUGAGAGGAUGAUCCGGCAAAACGGGACUGAGAAACGGGUCAGACGCCUACGGGAGGCAGCAGUUGGGAAAUUUUGCAAAUUGGGGGAAGCCCGAACCAGCCAUGCCGCGUGUCAGAAGAAGGCCUUCGGGUUGGAAAGCUCUGUUAAUCGGGACGCGGUACCGGAAGAGAAAGCCACGGCUAACUACGUGCCAGCCGCCGCGGUAAUUC
rnacentral:rRNA from 1 species